ACAUUAUCUCUCAUUAGAAUAAAGAAAAUCAUCCAAUUGGCUAGCUCGAAAAGGCGUAAGACUUCACUAUCACGUAACGUAAUUCUGCCUGGGGGAUUUCGUCUGCCGAACUUGCAGACGAAAGUUAGCUACUUUGAUCCUAGAAAAUAGUUGCAAGAAGCCAUUGGGAACCAUAAAUGAUAUUGCUUACCGACGAAGCGGUAUUAUUUUUGUUUCAGCUCUGUCAAGAUAUUAAUGUAGAAAUGAAUGACGAUUAAUUUAUUUUCAAGUACAUAGCUGUGAUAAAAUUUAUCAAAUCAAAAAUGAAUCUUAUGCAGGAAACGGUGUACCAUGCUCACUGUGAAACAUGUAUUAAGAUAUCAAAGUGCACCAAGAGGGUUGUUGAAGGUAAAUCCUGUCCAAUUAUUAGUUGCCAAAGAAAAUGUGGUUCUUCAUUCCACGGAUGUAAGACCAAUGAACACAACCUUCUGUGCCCAAAUAUGCAAGAACCCUGUAUCAAUGUGAGUUAUGGAUGCCCCCAUAUUGUACUCAGAAAACACCGUGGAAGCCAUCUUGAAUCCUGCCCUGCAAGUUGUGUGCCAUGUAAUGCAGAAUGGAACCGUUGGCCAUUAUGCACCAAGGAAAGGCAAAUUCACAUUCCCUUUGCUCAGAUUAAUCCACAGCUUCGAGAAGAACAGCUUGAUGUGGCAUUGGCUCUUCGAGACCAAGGAGUUUUAGAUCACUGGAUGCAUCUUCCUAGAAAAACCCAGAAGCUUAUGCGAUGUAACCUCACUCCUAGAUAUCCUGCAAUUCCUCUCAUCUUAAGUUUGUGGGAACCUACUGUUAAAAUGAAAGUAAAAUCCAUUUCCUCGGACGAUGGUCUUUCCAAUGUGAGUACUCCAAGACAAUCGGCCGAACGAAGCGAUAAUAGUAUUUUAAGUGUUUCAAGUACGGAUGAUGAAUCUCCUUGGGGUCGUCGUCGGAAACCUCCAGGAUUACUUCAGAGCAUGUGUACCCAGCUUUUUAAUAAAAGCACUGCACAGAAGCAGCAACAAGCAGUUUUGGUCACAAAUCAAGAUGAUAAUUGUUGUCCCUUGAAAAAUCAAGUGGUCGACGAAGACACGCUAAGCGACAUAAGUAACGGCUUGGAUGACGAUGGUAGCACCAAUGAAAUUUUGGACGCCCCUUUUGGAGGUUCCGGAAACUUUGGACCUUUGCCUUCGAAUCCGCCGGAAUUACCAUUACUCACUACUCUUGGUCUUGAUUUGUCUAUCGAGUGCAUACCACGCUAUCAGAGUAAACCUAAAUCGAUGUAUACGUUUGUCUGUGCUCAAGAUUUUCGAAGAGAUGAAUUUGCCUCGCAUUAUCUUAAUUGGCAUAGUGAAAUCCAUGGUGGUUUAGAUGGCUGGAUCGAACAACGUUGUCCUUUAGCGCGAUAUGGGUGCUCGUUUGCAAGACGACGUAUGUUUCCACUUAGCCCAGACCAUCGAAUCAUUUACAGCUCAAUCAUUGAGAGUUUUGGAGUUACGAGAACUCCGCAAGAUCCCGCUGGCAAGCCUGACGAACUUAACUUGACAGAUCUUCCCUUUGAGGUUCUUAGAGCAGUAGCCAGUUUUUUGGAUGGUUUCAGCUUGUGUCAUCUAUCGGUCACUUGCCAUCUUCUCCGUGAGGUGGCUCGCUCUCUUCUUUAUAACAGGGGUCUCGUUGCUGCUCAUUGGCAAAAGAGUCAGCAAGGAUGGAUUAUAACGCAUUAUCGAUGGUCUUUUAGCACUUCUUUCAGUCCCGUGGAACGAUGGGGAUUUGAGAGCAGUUCACAUAUCAGCAAUCAUCUGCGAGAGUGUCGCUACAACAUUAAGUCGUCAUAUGUCUUUCCGAAACGUGUUGCCUUACCUGGAUUUAUGGAAACUUUCGCUAGUGAGGCAACGGAAGGGAAGUGUCAGGACUUUUAAAACACGCUUGGUUAUGUACUCGGCAGCUGGAAUGUUUUCAGGCGCAUCAGUAACGACGGUAUCUUUUUUCAACUGCUCCACUUUCUGUUGCUCGCGAUGUGGGCCACGGUACACAUAUGGCGAAGAAGAUUUGGCAUAAGGAAGGGUUCCCUCGUUUGAUGUCUUCUGUUUGAGUUCCUUUAGGUUGGAGGUAACAACUGCUUGGAGUUGGCUAUUUUUUUCUUUUACGGAAAUCAGCUCAACGUUGGUAUCCCUUUCCGUACCUAGAUGUAAAGAAAGUGCUGUUAUAACCUCUGGAUUGUAUCUAAUAGUCUAUUUAAUAUAAUGAUAAUUUGAUGAAGUACUUUCUGGUGUGCUAGCUUGAGCAGUUGAAAGGCCAGAUAAAAGCUUGCCAGAGACCCCAUCAUUGACAGCAGUGGUAUGCUGGAAGUUUCGUUUGAUUUCUUCCAAUUUAAUUAUUUGAUUAUCGGAAAAUUUGUAAGCAUUCGUGAUAACAUCCGCUUGAUUUUUUUCUGCAUUCCCAACGCCAGGUGGACUAGCAUUUCCUGUUAUCGUAGGAUCACCGGAGAAAGAGUCGUCUAUUCUAGGUGAUAUACUGUUGACGUCUGUAUUAGGCUGAGACGAAAAUAAAGAAGCAUCUCUCAAUGUAGCUUGAGUGGGUAAAUCAAAUUUGAUACUGGUCUCGACAGGACUGAUGUUGAAUAGAUCCUUGGUUCCAUCACCUACGCCUGUACAGUCGGAUACAUAAUGAAAGUCCAUUUUGCAGUAGCUUUGUUUCCCUGCUUGUUGCAGUUUUCUGUGCAGUCACAGUGUCAAGUGGUUCAGUCCAACUUCUCAAUUCCAUGCAGAGCUUCAGAAAAGUUUAUUUUACAGGUAUUCUGUGUCUUGUGUUUACUUUUCUUGUUUCGUCAUAAGUGUUCGCAAGUGAUUUGUGAUUUUGAAAAUUUACAGACUUAAUCCGUGUUGAUCCAAAGUCGUUUGUGUCGUGUACCAAUGUAAGUGAAUGACUAUCUACCAGUGCUAGUGCCUCCGCCGAAAGGUUCCGUAGAUCCACUAAGCGAUGGGUCAAAUGGAGCAUGACCUACGUUCGGAAUAACAACUCCAAAACGUGCUGCAAUCGGAUCGAUUUCUAUCAAACUGGAAGAGGACGAUUUUUGGUCAUUGCUCGAAUGGGACCCAAAAUCACCGAACGCCGAGAAAUCUGAGAUGAAUGUUGAAUGGCUUCCUCCUCGACCACUUCCGCCUGCUCUUAAACUAUACCUGUACCAAGUAGUAAAUCGGAAGGUUUGGCUGCUGCGCUUGUUCCAACACCCCCAAAACUAUCGGUAUAUGCAUCUCCCCUGUUCUGUCCAAAAUAGUUUUCGGAGGCUGAAAACUGAUUAAAUCCUGGAGGAACAGCCACCCCAUAAAUUGCUGCAGCCAAACUGUCUGCCUGGGGCCCUGAUCCAUCCGUGUUUGGAUAGACGAGACCGCCAGUUUUUUUUUCGUGAAAAUUCAAUAAGAAUUACUUGUGAAUUUGCUGAUUUGAUGAUUAGUAGGAAUGAUGUAACUGCUACAAGAAACGCAGAGUGCAUUGUAGGUACUGCCAUCAUCAAAAUAAGUCCCCUCAGAGAAACUAAAAUUGCGAUCACAACUUAUCGUUUGCCGUAGCUUACUAAACCACAAAGAAAGUCAAUUGCCACUUUUUAUCAGUUUUUUUUAUAAUGCAGAGUUUGAAAAAGUUUUAACUAGUAAUAUUUUCGCCUUACUACUUUUAAUGUCGCACAAACCAUAACCGUUACGGUACAUUCAGUUAUGCUCUAUUUUAGGACAAAAGAAAGAGAGAUGGAGUUCCUCAAGUAGCUGAUGGAAGUUCAUAGAAGAAAACAGGAAGUGGGGCGAUUUCCAAUCGACGCUUUUUCACGCUGGCUUUUCCCUUAAUGAGAAGACGAGCACAUCAUUCGACGACAUGGAUUUAAACUGCAACACCAAUUUCUCUUCUUGGAAACGAGACAACAGAACUGACAGACGAAAAAAGUUUUAUUGUCGAAGAAAAAUAUUUUUUAGAAGACAGUACCACAAGCAAAGUCACAGAAGACUUCAGGUAAUGAAACACUAGAGUCGUUCAUCGUGCUUAAAUGAAGAUAGAUCUGCAUGGUUAUUUGCAAACAAAUCGAGCAAUCAAGUUUACAGACUGAAACAAGUGAAACAUACCGUCAUAAAUAAAUCGAGCUAAUAUUUGCACUAAAGAGAAAGUGCAGGUGGCAGGAUCGGGAUAUAGAAUUGAAUGAACUAAAAACACUAAUUGGUCGCUGCA